AUUGAACGCUGGCGGCAUGCCUUACACAUGCAAGUCGAACGGCAGCACGGGAGCAAUCCUGGUGGCGAGUGGCGAACGGGUGAGUAAAGUAUCGGAACGUGCCCAGUCGUGGGGGAUAACGUAGCGAAAGUUACGCUAAUACUGCAUACGAUCUAUGGAUGAAAGCGGGGGAUCGCAAGACCUCGUGCGAUUGGAGCGGCCGAUAUCAGAUUAGGUAGUUGGUGGGGUAAAGGCUCACCAAGCCGACGAUCUGUGGCUGGUCUGAGAGGACGACCAGCCACACUGGGACUGAGACACGGCCCAGACUCCUACGGGAGGCAGCAGUGGGGAAUUUUGGACAAUGGGCGAAAGCCUGAUCCAGCCAUGCCGCGUGCAGGAUGAAGGCCUUCGGGUUGUAAACUGCUUUUGUACGGAACGAAAAGGUUUGGCCUAAUAAGCUGAGCUCAUGACGGUACCGUAAGAAUAAGCACCGGCUAACUACGUGCCAGCCGCCGCGGUAA
rnacentral:rRNA from 1 species